rnacentral:rRNA from 1 species
ACUCCUACGGGAGGCAGCAGUGGGGAAUAUUGCACAAUGGGCGCAAGCCUGAUGCAGCCAUGCCGCGUGUGUGAAGAAGGCCUUCGGGUUGUAAAGCACUUUCAGUCGUGAGGAAGGUAGUGUAGUUAAUAGCUGCAUUAUUUGACGUUAGCGACAGAAGAAGCACCGGCUAACUCCGUGCCAGCAGCCGCGGUAAUACGGAGGGGUGCGAGCGUUAAUCGGAAUUACUGGGCGUAAAGCGCAUGCAGGUGGUUUGUUAAGUCAGAUGUGAAAGCCCGGGGCUCAACCUCGGAAUAGCAUUUGAAACUGGCAGACUAGAGUACUGUAGAGGGGGUAGAAUUUCAGGUGUAGCGGUGAAAUGCGUAGAGAUCUGAAGGAAUACCGGUGGCGAAGGCGGCCCCCUGGACAGAUACUGACACUCAGAUGCGAAAGCGUGGGGAGCAAACAGGAUUAGAUACCCUGGUAG